rnacentral:rRNA from 1 species
GUUAUAUGGUCAAGCGAAUAAGCGCACACGGUGGAUGCCUUGGCGGUCAGAGGCGAUGAAGGACGUGGCAGCCUGCGAAAAGUAUCGGGGAGCUGGCAACAAGCUUUGAUCCGGUAAUGUCCGAAUGGGGAAACCCACCCGCUUGCGGGUAUCCUGCAGUGAAUACAUAGCUGCUGGAAGCGAACCUGGUGAACUGAAAUAUCUAAGUAACCAGAGGAAAAGAAAUCAACCGAGAUUCCCUGAGUAGCGACGAGCGAACGGGGACUAGCCCUUAAGCUGGAAUGGUUCUAGAAAAACAGCCUGGAACGGCUGGCCAUAGAAGGUGAUAGCCCUGUAUUUAAAAGGGCCACUCCAGUGAAGACGAGUAGGGCGGGGCACGUGAAACCCUGUCUGAACAUGGGGGGACCAUCCUCCAAGGCUAAAUACUACUGACCGACCGAUAGUGAACCAGUACCGUGAGGGAAAGGCGAAAAGAACCCCGGAGAGGGGAGUGAAAUAGAUCCUGAAACCGUGUGCGUACAAGCAGUAGGAGCUCGAAAGAGUGACUGCGUACCUUUUGUAUAAUGGGUCAGCGACUUACUGUUCGUGGCAAGCUUAACCGUAUAGGGGAGGCGAAGGGAAACCGAGUCUGAUAAGGGCGCAUAGUCGCGGGCAGUAGACCCGAAACCGGGUGAUCUAGUCAUGGCCAGGGUGAAGGUGCCGUAACAGGUACUGGAGGCCCGAACCCACGUCUGUUGCAAAAGACGGGGAUGAGCUGUGAUUAGGAGUGAAAAGCUAAUCGAACCCGGAGAUAGCUGGUUCUCCUCGAAAGCUAUUUAGGUAGCGCCUCAUAUGUAUCCUCUCGGGGGUAGAGCACUGUUAUGGCUAGGGGGUCAUCGCGACUUACCAAACCAUUGCAAACUCCGAAUACCGAGACGGACUGUAUGGGAGACACACGGCGGGUGCUAACGUCCGUCGUGAAAAGGGAAACAACCCAGACCCACAGCUAAGGUCCCAAAUUCACUGCUAAGUGGAAAACCAUGUGGAAAGGCACAGACAGCCAGGAGGUUGGCUUAGAAGCAGCCACCCUUUAAAGAAAGCGUAAUAGCUCACUGGUCGAGUCGGUCUGCGGGGAAGAUUUAACGGGGCUAAGCAGUGAACCGAAGCUUGGGGUGUGCAUAUUUAUAUGUACGCGGUAGAGGAGCGUUCCGUAAGCCGUUGAAGGUGGAUUGAGAAGUCUGCUGGAGGUAUCGGAAGUGCGAAUGCUGACAUGAGUAACGAUAAUGCGGGUGAAAAACCCGCACGCCGAAAGCCCAAGGUUUCCUUGCGCAACGUUAAUCGGCGCAGGGUGAGUCGGCCCCUAAGGCGAGGACGAAAGUCGUAGUCGAUGGGAAGCAGGUUAAUAUUCCUGCACCUCGCGUAAGUGCGAUGGAGGGACGGAGAAGGUUAGGUGUACCCGGCGUUGGUUGUCCGGGGGAAAGG